rnacentral:rRNA from 1 species
AGAGUUUGAUCCUGGCUCAGGAUGAACGCUAGCGGCAGGCCUAAUACAUGCAAGUCGAACGGUCCUAGCAAUAGGAUAGUGGCGCACGGGUGCGUAACGCGUAACCAACCUACCUGGAUCUGGGGGAUAGCCCGCCGAAAGGCGGAUUAAUACCGCAUAAGCUAAGUGAUCGGCAUCGGUUGCUUCGUAAAGAUUUAUUGGAUUCAGAUGGGGUUGCGUAGCAUUAGCUAGAUGGCGGGGUAACGGCCCACCAUGGCGACGAUGCUUAGGGGACCUGAGAGGGUGAUCCCCCACACUGGCACUGAGAUACGGGCCAGACUCCUACGGGAGGCAGCAGUAGGGAAUAUUGGGCAAUGGGCGAGAGCCUGACCCAGCCAUGCCGCGUGCCGGAUGAAGGCCUUCUGGGUUGUAAACGGCUUUUCUCAGGGAAGAAAAAGAGGAUGCGUCCUAAACUGACGGUACCUGAGGAAUAAGCACCGGCUAACUCCGUGCCAGCAGCCGCGGUAAUACGGAGGGUGCAAGCGUUGUCCGGAUUUAUUGGGUUUAAAGGGUGCGUAGGUGGCUUGUUAAGUCCGGGGUGAAAGCCCACAGCUCAACUGUGGAACUGCCCUGGAUACUGGCAAGCUUGAGAGUAGUCGAGGGUGGCGGAAUGGACGGUGUAGCGGUGAAAUGCAUAGAUACCGUCCAGAACCCCAAUUGCGUAGGCAGCUGCCUAGGCUACAUCUGACACUGAGGCACGAAAGCGUGGGGAGCGAACAGGAUUAGAUACCCUAGUAGUCC